rnacentral:piRNA from 1 species
UCCAAAGCAGUCAUGGGCUAUCACCCUUGU